CUUGUCUGUGGUUACGUUAAUCAAAAUCCUGAAACUUCUAACAGAGACAAGUCUACUUGUCUUUGCUUCUAAUUACUAAAACGGGUAUGUAUAUGGUGAGCAGCUUUUGAUGUAUGAUGACAAAUUGCUUGGAUUUGAGUGAAAUUUUGUCUAUUUAAAUUCGGCUCCGUUGUUUUCUGCGAACAGUUGAGUGAAAGAGUUACUAUGUUACAUAAUAAAGCAAUCUACUGUGGAAAA